UACAGAGGGUGCAAGCGUUGUUCGGAAUCACUGGGCAUAAAGCGUACGUAGGCGGCGUCGUAAGUGUCGGAUGAAAUCCCACGGCUUACCCGUGGAACGGUCCGGCAUACUGCGGUGCUAGAGGAUGGUAGAGGAGAGCGGAACUCUUGGUGGAGCGGUGAAAUGCGUAGAUAUCAAGAGGAACACCGGUGGCGAAGGCGGCUCUCUGGUCCAUGUCUGACGCUGAGGCACGAAAGCGUGGGGAGCAAACAGG
rnacentral:rRNA from 1 species